rnacentral:tRNA from 1 species
AGUAUUAUGUCUGAUUUAAAAGUAAUAAAUUGUAAAUUUAUUUAUGAAAAUUUUAUUUUUCUAAUACUA